AGCGAACGCUGGCGGCAGGCUUAACACAUGCAAGUCGAGCGGGCAUAGCAAUAUGUCAGCGGCAGACGGGUGAGUAACGCGUGGGAACGUACCUUUUGGUUCGGAACAACACAGGGAAACUUGUGCUAAUACCGGAUAAGCCCUUACGGGGAAAGAUUUAUCGCCGAAAGAUCGGCCCGCGUCUGAUUAGCUAGUUGGUGAGGUAAUGGCUCACCAAGGCGACGAUCAGUAGCUGGUCUGAGAGGAUGAUCAGCCACAUUGGGACUGAGACACGGCCCAAACUCCUACGGGAGGCAGCAGUGGGGAAUAUUGGACAAUGGGCGCAAGCCUGAUCCAGCCAUGCCGCGUGAGUGAUGAAGGCCCUAGGGUUGUAAAGCUCUUUUGUGCGGGAAGAUAAUGACGGUACCGCAAGAAUAAGCCCCGGCUAACUUCGUGCCAGCAGCCGCGGUAAUACGAAGGGGGCUAGCGUCGCUCGGAAUCACUGGGCGUAAAGGGUGCGUAGGCGGGUCUUUAAGUCAGGGGUGAAAUCCCGGAGCUCAACUCCAGAACUGCCUUUGAUACUGAAGAUCUUGAGUUCGGGAGAGGUGAGUGGAACUGCGAGUGUAGAGGUGAAAUUCGUAGAUAUUCGCAAGAACACCAGUGGCGAAGGCGGCUCACUGGCCCGAUACUGACGCUGAGGCACGAAAGCGUGGGGAGCAAACAGG
rnacentral:rRNA from 1 species